rnacentral:lncRNA from 1 species
GUGAAAAAUCAGAAUUGUUUGUAACAUCUUUUUUUCUUUUUUUGAAUUAGAACAGUACCAAAUGUCUUGGUUUUAAGCUACUUACUGGAUAAAGGUUAAAGUCAGUGAGUAUUCAGUAUGUCUUUGGGCUACUCAGUGUCCUUUUGCCCAGUGGGUCCGAACUCAUAGCGUACUUGUGAUCCGCCCGUCCCGCACUCCACGAACUCCAUUCCGGGUUUUAUCUCCCCGACGGACGGCUCGGACCCCGCUGGGGUCGCACUUUCACACACCGCCUCCUCCCGGCUACGCACGACUCAGAGAGGGAGUGUAUGUGUGUGUCCGUGAGAGAGAGAGAGAGAUCUGAGGGAAGAAAGGGAACCCCUCUGACACACUUCGCUCCUCAGUUCAUCAUUUCAUUUUUUUUAAAAAAAAAAAACUUUUUCUUACUUUUUUAAAAAGAAAAAAAAAACAGCAAGUGGACAGAAAAACCUGCGAGGUGAAAGAAUUUCCCCCGCCAAGCGAGGGGGGUGAAGAAGAGAAAGAAGAGAUUAUAUUCUCGCUGAAUAAGAAAGUGUGAGAAGAAGUGGAGGAGUGAAAGUGCCGAGCGAGCGCGCCGGUGUGUGAUCAUGGAAACACGGAUACUGACACUGAACGCAGCCGGAGCCGCGCGCUUCCUACUGCUCGCCCUGGUUUGUAUCGCUGUGGUCCAAAGCUCUAAGGUAUGGAGCGAGGUGGCAGGUCCGGAAGACUUGGAGGUUGAGAGGGGGGGCAGCAGAGGGCUCAGGGGCUUCCUGGCUGAAUCUGACGACGAGGACUUUGCUGUAAAUGAGGCCUCCGGAGAUGAACCCAGUGGUGAGGAGGAUGGAAGCACUCCAGAACCCCCCAUAACUGAAGUUUCAGGUGUCACAGGUAAGUCACCAUUUACCAUUUAGUCCCUCAGCACCUCAAGAAUCAAGCUUUCUCAACGUGAAAUUCGGGCAGGUUUCCCAUUUCUAACUUUGAUUGUUCAGGGUCCAUUGUCUGCUUUGGUUUGGCCCAUGUGACACAGCAAGCAAAUAGUUCCCA